rnacentral:rRNA from 1 species
UGGGGAAUAUUGGACAAUGGGCGAAAGCCUGAUCCAGCCAUGCCGCGUGUGUGAAGAAGGUCUUCGGAUUGUAGAGCACUUUAAGUUGGGAGGAAGGGCAGUAAGCGAAUACCUUGCUGUUUUGACGUUACCGACAGAAUAAGCACCGGCUAACUCUGUGCCAGCAGCCGCGGUAAUACAGAGGGUGCAAGCGUUAAUCGGAAUUACUGGGCGUAAAGCGCGCGUAGGUGGUUCGUUAAGUUGAAUGUGAAAGCCCCGGGCUCAACCUGGGAACUGCAUCCAAGACUGGCGAGCUGGAGUAGGGCAGAGGGUGGUGGAAUUUCCUGUGUAGCGGUGAAAUGCGUAGAUAUAGGAAGGAACACCAGUGGCGAAGGCGACCACCUGGGCUCAUACUGACACUGAGGUGCGAAAGCGUGGGGAGCAAACAGG